rnacentral:rRNA from 1 species
AACGAACGUUGGCGGCAUGGAUUAGGCAUGCAAGUCGAACGAAUGCCCGGGUAGCAAUACCUUGGCGGAAGUGGCGAAAGGGGCAGUAAUGUAUGGGGUACCUACCCCGGGUUGAGUAUAGCCGGUCUAACGGCCGGGUAAUCCUCAGCGAUGUCGCAAGACCAAAGCUCCGGCGCCCUGGGAGGGGCCCAUAUCAGAUUAGCUAGUUGGCGGGGUAACGGCCCACCAAGGCGAAGAUCUGUAGCGGGUGGAGAGCACGACCCGCGCCACUGGCACUGAGACACUGGCCAGACACCUACGGGUGGCUGCAGUCGAGGAUCUUCGUCAAUGGGGCGAAAGCCUGAACGAGCGAUGCCGCGUGUGCGAUGAA